GUUCUGGCUUCUGGGUGGCACUGUCUGGGGAGCAUUUUUCCAACGGCCUUGUUUUGCAGCCUCUGGACAAAUCCUAGGACGUGUCUUUCCAGGAUGCCUGUCAACAUUGACAUCGUGUAUCCCCAAAUAUUUGAAGGCUUUCUCCCUGUUUGUAACUUGUUUAUUCACAUCCUUUAUAGACUUCUCUGGUAUACGCGUGAACAAACACACGUCUGUCGCCCGUUAGACUGCGCCUCUGCGUCCACUCUUGCCUAUUUGGGGCCUAUGGAUUAGCGGCAAGAUCACUUCUUGAUCCAGCUGGUGUUGGACGAAGAAGCCAGCGUCUGGCACGUGGAGUUGCUGUGUGUUUUCAUGCAAGCAGAUACCUCCCUAGGCAAAUGGCAGUGUUAGGCAAAUGACAGGAUUUUAUUUGCACCUCCCUUUAUUCUGGUCUGUAUAUACACUUUGGUAUCAAAACACAAGUCAUUUCCAAGAAUACUUUGAUAAUGUGUAGGCAAUACGUUUUAUGUUAAAAGAUUCCAGCUUCAGCGAUAUAUGAUACAAACCUUAAAAUUCAGGAGGAUUUUCUAGGUCUGUAAGGGGACAAACAUGCAAAAUGUUCCUAAACCAGUGGUGGUGUAGCGGGGUCCCACUGCAGGAGGACAGAUGGCAUCUUUUCACCGUUGCUGGUGUAAGAAAGGAAGAAAACAGGACCCGGUGGGAUCCCAGGUUCCUGAAAGCCCUAAAUGAGCAAAACGCUUCAGCCCGUGCUAAUCCAGCAUGAUUGAGGCCCGCUCCGAGCAGUCCUUAGGGUCGGGACCAAACCUACCUGCUGAUGCCAGUUGUGGCGCAUGAAGGAUCUGGGUGCUCGUCUGCGCAGGGCAGGUGUUGGCAUUGCCCCUCGCUGGCCUGCAAGGGGCUCGUGGGGCGCUCAGGAGAAUCCGAGAAGUACCUGCUACAGGAAUUAGACGCCUCUGGAAUUUUAGCGACUGGUCAAAAUCCUCAUUUAGGCCAUUAAAUCGA